CUGCAUGGCUGUCGUCAGCUCGUGUCGUGAGAUGUUGGGUUAAGUCCCGCAACGAGCGCAACCCUUGUCAUUAGUUGCCAUCAUUUGGUUGGGCACUCUAAUGAGACUGCCGGUGACAAACCGGAGGAAGGUGGGGAUGACGUCAAGUCCUCAUGGCCCUUAUGGGUAGGGCUUCACACGUCAUACAAUGGUCGGUACAGAGGGUUGCCAACCCGCGAGGGGGAGCUAAUCCCACAAAGCCGAUCGUAGUCUGGAUCGCAGUCUGCAACUCGACUGCGUGAAGUCGGAAUCGCUAGUAAUCGUGGAUCAGCAUGUCACGGUGAAUACGUUCCCGGGUCUU
rnacentral:rRNA from 1 species